GUGCCAGCCGCCGCGGUAAGACGAACCGUGCGAACGUUAUUCGGAAUCAUUGGGCUUAAAGGGCGCGUAGACGGAUGACCGCGUCGAGUGCUGAAAUCCCCCGGCUUAACCGGGGAACGGGCCUCGAAACGGGUCAUCUCGAGUGGAGGAGGGGGACCUGGAACGUCCGGUGGAGCGGUGAAAUGCGUUGAGAUCGGACGGAACUCCAAUGGCGAAGGCGAGGUCCUGGACUCCCACUGACGUUGAGGCGCGAAAGCUAGGGGAGCAAACAGGAUUAGAUACCCUAGUAGUCC
rnacentral:rRNA from 1 species